GCCCCAAUCACGUCACAAACCCCUUCCGGCCCCCGGGACGACCCCGGCCCAGAUCCCCGAGCUCCCCUGAGAUUCGGCCUCGCGAAGGAGAGACCAGGUGUGGUCGGACCCGCGACGCCGACGGCGCUGACGGUGUUUCCCGCUCGCUGAACUCCGGGGACGCGCGGAGUCGGCGCCUCGUUCUCUCCCUGCAGCUCCUGAGCAACGGGAUCGCCCUGGUGAGGGUGAUGGGCCGAGAACCGCGUAGGUUCAAACCCCGGUUCCUCCUUUCCCGCGCGGAGUGACUUCCGGCUGCACCGGGAACUCUCCUGGGCCUCUGCUCACCGUUUAUAAAAUGGGGACAUCACAGUGCAGGCUCCCGUGAGGGCGGAAUCGGAUCACGCCUCCCCUCGGGUCGGUCCCGGCUUCCGCUUGAGUGUCUUGGUAACUGUACUCUGACUUCAGUGGAAAUGGGACACUGAAACCGUAAGAGACCUGAGAAAUGAAGUCUUGCAAGACUCGAGGCCAGUCCAAGUUGAACCAGAGUGGGCAGAAGACGUCUUCAGUUGGAAGCCAGGAGCCUAAAGAGGGAGGUGUGAACAGAGAGGACUGUGAAAGCUUCCAGGAGCAGAGGAGGGACCUGGGUCCUGUGUGCUGUCAUCAUCGCUGUGGUCCUUUGUGAGGUCAGAGCAGACAGCUCUGCCAGCGGUGCCUCGAGCUGGAGAUGGAAACUAUAUGUGCUGGAUUUACGGAAGCGUGCUCAUAGGACUUCUGGAAUGUUCGGUCUGGAUCUGCAACCUGUGCAUUCUUAUUGAUGGAGCCAGGGGCAGCCAAUCCCAUGAUUAAGAGGUGGUCAAGCAGAGGAAAGAUUUACUACAACUGUGCUGUAAGACACUCAAGAUUUUUGCCAUACCAAUCCAAAAUAUUAGGAAAAUCUUGAAGAUGGUGCAGCUGGAGUCAAUCACCCUGGGAUGGUUUGCUCCUCACCUGGGUCAUGGUCAGCCUGCACAGGCUCCUGCUCUCCCACAUCCACGUUUCUUCUGAUGUUUCUCCAGCAAAGGACGAGCAGUAUGUUGGCCAGUUCACCUCCAAGUUCUUCUGUCUGCAGCAUCUCCGGGUGCUACAUUUGGACUCUGUUUCCUUUCUGGAAGGUCUCUUGGACCAGGUGGUCAGGAGGAGUGGCAAGGCUUUUCUGCAGACCAAAGCCAGGCCAUCUUCAUUUCCUUAAACACAUUCUGUGUUGACUCUGUGGCACCUGCCAGUGAUGUAAAGUUUAGGGGACAUGUUCUCCACAUGUCUUCAAUAUUGUGUAUAGAGUGGAAUAGCUGCUUCAAGGAUAGACACUGUUAGGAAACUCUACGAUGGGGGAUUUUGGCCUAGUGAGGGCAGACUCGAGAAUUUGGCUUUAGGAAUUGAUGUCUAAGUUAAGAUGGAAAUAACUAAGAGAAGAGGGCAUUGGUGAAGGCGGGAAAGUCCAUCAAAUGAGAGGUGUCAAAAUAUAAGCUCUGCACUUGCCAGCUCUGUAAACAUGAGCUGCCUCCUCCAGUCCUCCCUGUCUGUAGCAGGGUUGCUUUGUGCUCCCAAUAAGUUAUUAAGUGGGAAAUACAUUAUUAUUCAGGUGUGGGUGAAGGUGCAAGAGCAGAAAAUUGUAAAACAUUAAUAGCUGCUAUGCCCAUGAAAAAGAGAUUUAGGUGAACCCCCACAGGCUAGCAAGACCGGGUGAUUUGGCCAGAUCUUACCCAGGUUUCCCUUUUAUGGAUUAUGGUUAUGGUUAUGGAUACUCAUAGAUUUAGGCUAAAGGUUAGGUUUAGGGAUGUGAUAGGUAUAUGGAUAGGGUUAGGCUUAGGCUUAGGGUUAGGGAAAAUGGAGCUCUCCCCAGCCCA